rnacentral:rRNA from 1 species
CUAUGCGCCUUGCCAGCCCGCUCAGGUGUGCCAGCAGCCGCGGUAAUACGGAGGAUGCGAGCGUUAUCCGGAUUUAUGGUUUAAAGGGUGCGUAGGCGGAGUGUCAAGUCAGCGGUAAAAUUCGGGGCUCAACCCCGUCGUGCCGUUGAAACUGACGCCCUUGAGUGAGUGAGAAGUAAGCGGAAUGCGUGGUGUAGCGGUGAAAUGCAUAGAUAUCACGCAGAACGCCGAUUGCGAAGGCAGCUUACCGGCGCUCAACUGACGCUGAGGCACGAAAGUGCGGGUAUCGAACAGG